rnacentral:tRNA from 1 species
UAGCUUAGUGGUUAAGGCUAUGGAUCGCCAAUCCAGAGACGGCGGGUUCGAUUCCCGU